UAGUGGCGAACGGGUGAGUAACACGUGGGCAAUCUGCCCUGCACUCUGGGACAAGCCCUGGAAACGGGGUCUAAUACCGGAUACGAGGUUCGGAGGCAUCUCUGAACCUGGAAAGCUCCGGCGGUGCAGGAUGAGCCCGCGGCCUAUCAGCUUGUUGGUGAGGUAACGGCUCACCAAGGCGACGACGGGUAGCCGGCCUGAGAGGGCGACCGGCCACACUGGGACUGAGACACGGCCCAGACUCCUACGGGAGGCAGCAGUGGGGAAUAUUGCACAAUGGGCGGAAGCCUGAUGCAGCGACGCCGCGUGAGGGAUGACGGCCUUCGGGUUGUAAACCUCUUUCAGCAGGGAAGAAGCGAGAGUGACGGUACCUGCAGAAGAAGCGCCGGCUAACUACGUGCCAGCAGCCGCGGUAAUACGUAGGGCGCAAGCGUUGUCCGGAAUUAUUGGGCGUAAAGAGCUCGUAGGCGGCUUGUCACGUCGAUUGUGAAAGCCCGAGGCUUAACCUCGGGUCUGCAGUCGAUACGGGCUAGCUAGAGUGUGGUAGGGGAGAUCGGAAUUCCU
rnacentral:rRNA from 1 species